rnacentral:rRNA from 1 species
AACGAACGCUGGCGGCAGGCCUAACACAUGCAAGUCGAGCGCCCCGCAAGGGGAGCGGCGGACGGGUGAGUAACGCGUGGGAACGUACCCUUUGCUACGGAAUAGCCUCGGGAAACUGGGAGUAAUACCGUAUGUGCCCUUCGGGGGAAAGAUUUAUCGGCAAAGGAUCGGCCCGCGUUGGAUUAGGUAGUUGGUGGGGUAAUGGCCUACCAAGCCGACGAUCCAUAGCUGGUUUGAGAGGAUGAUCAGCCACACUGGGACUGAGACACGGCCCAGACUCCUACGGGAGGCAGCAGUGGGGAAUCUUAGACAAUGGGCGCAAGCCUGAUCUAGCCAUGCCGCGUGAGCGAUGAAGGCCUUAGGGUUGUAAAGCUCUUUCAGUGGGGAAGAUAAUGACUGUACCACAGAAGAAGCCCCGGCUAACUCCGUG